rnacentral:lncRNA from 1 species
UUAUUUUUUUUUUUUUAGAGCAAUUUAUUGGGUUUUACAAUAAAAAUAAACAUAAUAAACAAUAUAACAUUUGUCUUAACAUAGUUUCACAUUUUCUUUGGACUUCCUCACAUCCCCCGCUCCCACUUUCAUCGUUAUAACAUUUUGUCAGCAAUUUAUCAUCUUAUUUAAAUUCUUAUAUCUCUUCAAUGUUUCAUAAUCUUAUAGUUCUCAUAAAGAGUUAAACUUUCACAGUCUUACUUAUUUUCUUAAAAACUUCUAAGUUAAGUGGUGCUCAGUUAUUUAGUCUAGCAUCUUAUUUAGCAUUCACUCAAAUCACAAUAUUUUUGUAGAUAGUUCUUAAAUUUCUUCCAAUCCUCCUCGAUUCUCUCUUCUCCCAGGUCACGGAUUCUGCCGGUCAUUUCAGCCAGUUCCAUGUAGUCUAUCAGUUGCAUCUGCCAUUCUUCCAGUGUGGGUAAAUCUUGAGUUUUCCAAUGUUUUGCAAGAAGUAUCCUUGCUGCUGUUGUUGCAUACAUAAAAAUGUCUGGUCCUUCUUUGCCACCCCUUGGCUGACAAUACCCAGAAGGAAAGCCUCUGGUUUCUUGGUAAAGGUAUAUUUAAAUACCUUUUUCAAUUCAUUAUAAAUCAUUUCCCAGAACGCCUUCACUUUAGGGCAGGUCCACCAGAGGUGGAAGAACGUUCCCUCACACUCUUUACAUUUCCAACACUUAUUAUCAGACAGGUGGUAAAUUUUUGCAAGUUUAACUGGGGUCAUAUACCAUCUAUAAAUCAUUUUCAUUACAUUUUCUUUCAGAGCGUUACAUGCAGUAAAUUUCAAUCCUUUACUCCACAACUUUUCCCAGUCCUCAAACAUAAUAUUAUACCCAAUGUCCUGUGCCCACCUUAUCAUAGCCGAUUUAACCAUUUCAUCUUGUGUAUUCCAUUCCAACAGCAAGUUAUACAUCCUUGAAAGUACCUUAGUCUUUGGUUCUAACAAUUCUGUUUCUAAUUUCGAUUUCUCCACCUGGAACCCUAGUUUCUUAUCAUUUUUAAAAACUUCUUUAAUCUGAGCGUAAUGUAACCAAUCUCGCACUUUGUCUUUCAUUUUCUCCAAACUCUGCAAUUUCCAAUUGUCUCCAUCUUUUUCUAGUAUUUCCCAAUAUUUUGGCCAUUUAGCCUCCAUAUUGGGUCUUUUCGGGCCUUAGCUUCCAAAGGUGAAAGCCACCUUGGUGUUUUAUUUUCCAGCAAGUCUUUAUAUUUUGUCCAGACAUUAUACAAUGAUUUUCUGACAAUAUGGUUCUUGAAGGCCUUAUUUGCUUUAACUUUGUCAUACCAUAAAUAUGCAUGCCAUCCAAAAACAUUAUUAAACCCUUCCAAGUCCAACACAUCAGUGUCUUCAAGAAGUAGCCAGUCUUUUAGCCAGCAGAACGCUGCGGCUUCAUAAUACAACUUUAAGUCCGGCAGGGCAAAGCCCCUCUUUGUUUUACAUCAGUUAAUAUCUUAAACUUGAUUCUGGGCUUUUGCCCUGCCAGACAAACUUCGAAAUAUCUCUCUGCCACUUCUGAAAGCACUCCGUUUUGUCCAAAACCUGAAGUGUUUGAAAUAAAAACAACAUCCUUGGCAAUACAUUCAUCUUAAUAGCAGCAAUUCGGCCUAACAAAGAAAGUUUCAAUUUUGACCAACUGUCUAAGUCUCUCUUAAUUUCUGUCCAACAUUUUUCAUAGUUAUCCUUAAAUAGACUUAGAUUUUUUGCUGUUAUGUUUACCCCUAGGUAUUUUACUUUUUAACCACAUUAAGUUCCGUCUCAUUCUGAAACCGUUCUGACUCUGUAUCAGUCAAAUUUUUCCCCAAAACCUUAGUUUUCUGUUUAUUUAAUUUAAAUCCCGCCACCCGACCAAAAUCAUUAAUCAAUUGUAAUACUCUUUUCGUACUGGGCUCUGGCUUCUGCAAGGUCAAAACCAGGUCAUCUGCAAAAGCUUUUAGUUUAUAUUGUUUCUGACCAACCUGAAUUCCUUCCACCAACCGAUCCCCUCUAAUCAUGUUCAGUAGCACUUCCAGAACCGAAAUAAAUAACAAGGGGAAAUAGGGCAACCUUGUCGUGUCCCUUUUUCAAUUUUAAACUCUUCUGUAACCACAUUAUUAACUAUCAGUUUAGCUUUCUGUUCUGAAUAUAUCGCCUCAAUCCCAUUCUCAAAACCCCGUCCCACUCCCAUCUCUUUUAAAUUUCCCAUCAUAAAUUUCCAGGAAAUAUUGUCAAAGGCCUUCUCCGCAUCUAUAAAAAUUAAAACUGCUUUUGUAUUUAUAUCUGUUUGCAGAAGUUCCAAGAUGUCAAUAAUGUUCCUUGUGUUAGCAAACAGAUGUCUACCUGGGAGAAAACCGGCCUGGUCCUUAUGAAUUACUUCAUUUAAUACUUUUUAAAUCUACUUGCCAAAAUGUCUGCAAAUAUUUUGUAAUCCACAUUUAAAAGAGAGAUGGGACGGUAGUUCUUCAGUUGUGUCUUUUCAGCUUCUGACUUUGGUAUUAAUGUGAUGAACGCUUCCUUCCACGAAUCCGGUGCCCUCUCCCCUCGAUAAUUUCAUUGCUGACCUCCAUCAAGGGUUGUAUCAAAUAGUCUUUUAAUAUCUUAUAAUACUUGGAGGUCAGCCCAUCUGGCCCUGGAGAUUUGCCAAGUUGCAUGUUCUGAAUAGCUUGUUCAAUCUCCUGUCGUGUUAUUUUAGAGUUCAGGAUUGUCCUAUUUUCUUGUGACAAUUUAGAUAGUCCAUUUUUGCCAAAAAUUGUUUAAUCUCAACUUCGUCUUGCGGCCCUUGGGUGUAUAAUUUUUAAAAUAUCUCUGGAAACACUUUCUAAUAUCCACUGGAUUCUGAAUGUUUUUUCCAUCAACCUCUAAAUUUGUAACCGUGUUUAAUCUUUGUCUUCUCUUCAACUGCCAAGCUAGCAGUUUUCCACAUUUAUUCGCCGACUCAAACGUUUUUUGUUUCAUUAAUUUAACCUUCCAUUCAAUUUCCUGAUUUAUCAAUUUAGAAUAUUGUGUUUGAUAGAGUUUAAUUUCUCUCAGAGUUGGCUGUGACUUUGGAUUCGCUCUUAAUUUCUUCUCUAAUUCUUUUAAUUUGUCCAAGAUUUUAUCUUUUUUCUCAUUUUGUGUUCUUUUCUUUACUACAUUCUGUUGUAUCAAGAAUCCCCUCAUUACAGCUUUGCUUGCGUCCCAGACAAUUCUGUUUUCAACCGAAUUGUUCAUAUUUAUCUCAAAAUAGUCCUUCAAAACUUUUUGGGCCUUCUUGGUAAUUUCCUGAUCUCUAAACAAAUUGUCAUUCAUCUUCCAUCUAAAGGAUCCAGUUGGUAGUAGUGUCAUAUCCAUCUUUACUGCAUUAUGGUCAGAGCAGGUCUUUGGGCAGAUUUCCACUUUUCUGACCUUAGGUGCCAGGCCUCUGGAAAUCCAUAUUUGGUCGAUUCUUGUCCAGGUCAGUUGGGCUUCAGAAAAGAAUGUUCCUUCUCUACCUAGUGGGUUCUUUGUCCUCCAAAUGUCAAUCAAAUCCAUAUUGUCAGUCAUUUCAAAAAAGUUUUAGGUAGUCUGCCGUCUUUUGUAACAUUUUGACUUUGUGACUUGUCCAUGUUAGUUGACACGACCCCGUUCAUGUCUCCCAUCAUUAUGAUGUUGUUGUAAUCCAGAUAUUCCAGCAUUGUCCCCUGCAGCUUCUUGUAAAAUUCCGAUUUCCCUUCGUUAGGUGCAUAGAUUCCUAAUAUCAACAGUUUCUCUCCUUGAUAUUGUAUCUCAAUGGCCAAAAUUCUUCCAUGUUCAUCUUUAAAUAAGAAUUUAGGUGACAGGCUCUCUUUUGCAUAUAUCACCACGCCUCUCUUCUUAACUUUGUCCGACGAAACAAAUUCCUGGCCCAAUCUUUUAUUUAUUAACACUUUUCUGUGGAGCCUCGUCACAUGUGUUUCUUGUAAACAGAUGAUGUCCAAUUGUUCUUUUUUAAUAUAUGAAAUAUUUUCUUCCUUUUUCCGGAAUGUUACAACCAUUAAUGUUCCAACUCAGCAAUUGCAGAGACAUCCUGGAUCUAUCUGGUUAUUUCUCCAGGGGUGGUGUCUUCUCUGGAUCUUCAGGUUCCCCAGGUGCUGGUGUUGAUACUGGCUUUGCCCCAGGCCCAGAAGGUAAUUCAAUUCCUUUUUGAAGGUCCUCUCCGUAUGUAGCCAAAAAUUUGUCUCUCUCUUCCAAUGUUCUAACUUUGACCUUUCUCCCUUUAAAGGUAAAAGAUAUUCCUUGUGGAAAUUCCCACCUAAAUGGAAUUGCGUUGCUCCUUAGUAGUUUAGCAAGUUCAGAAUAGGCGGCUCUAAGAUCCAGCAGUUGUCUUGGAAUAUCUUUAUAAAUUUCAAUUCUUCUGUCCAGAACCUCCAGUGACUUUCCGUAAUGUAGGCCCAAAAUCUUAUCCCUUUCCUCCUUUGAUCUCAAUGUAAUCAAACAGUCUCUGGGCCUCUCCUUCUUUGUGAAUCUUCCAAGUCUGAAAGCCGACACAAUUUUAAAAUCCUUUUCUUCCAAAUUCCAGAACUUGGAAACUUCUUUGGUCAAAAACUCAGUUAAAUUUCCUUCUUCUGCCUCUUGUAAUGAUCUAAUCCUCAAAUUAUUCUCACGAUUUCGCAGUUCUAUCAUGGAAAGAUAAGUCUGAUGUUCCCCAACUUGUUUGGUGAGUGGCCUUACCUCUUGCUCUAAAUUUUCCAAUUUUUGUCUAGUAUCCUCAGCCAGUUUCCGAUUUUCUGCUGAGGCCUCCGUUAACUGUCCAAUUGCUUGUGUAUUCUGUACAACUUGUAUGGUUAAUUUAUUUAGACAUUCUGUAUUUUUGUCAAUCUUUGCUGAUUGCGCAUCUACUUUCUUGUCCAAAGCUUCCAAUUUUUCAAAGAUUUUGUCUAGAACAGAAACAGAUACUCCUGAGGCCAUAUCUUCCAAUUGUAACUGCUCUGCUUCACCCUCUCCCUCUUUUGCCUGUGGCAAGGCAACUUCUUCAAGUUCUACUUCUGAGGGCAAAGUAGGUACAGAUGAUCUACGUGUCUGCGAGGCUGAGGUUAGAGUUGUUAAAGUUGUUUGUCUAACUCUCCCUCUUUUCCUUGUGCCACUCAUUCCAACGUUGUCUAUCAGUCAAGGUCACACUGAGUUUUUCCCAUGGGAAUAGAAAGGCCCAGAGCAAGCAAACAACAAGGGAAUCGAAAGUAAAUGUAAAUGUAAAGUCACUGUUUUCAUCCAGUCCUCUAGAGGGAGCUUAAAAUGUCUUUCAGAGUCUAAUUUAAUGUCCAAGAACCUUCAAAUAUAAAUAUUUAGCAGAGUUUAUAAGUAGUCACUUUGUUACAGACAGUGCUUAUUUGUCUCC